GUGAAUCAUCGAAUCUUUGAACGCAUAUUGCACUCUCUGGCAUCCCAGAGAGUAUGCCUGAUUCAGCAUCAGUAAAACAUCACCGAAGCAGCCAGUUUUGGUGGAUUUGGGCUAUGCAUGCUCUCUUUUGAACAUGCUCACCUGAAAUUUAUAUUUGUUUUUUUUCUUGGCAAGAAGUAUAUCAAAACCUUGGUUUUGGAUUGGGGCUAUGCAUGACCAAAUUUUUUUGGACACAUGCUCGCCCUGAACAAUUCUUGCGGGAUCCAUUGGGAAAUGGGAAUAGAAACACCAAUAAAAAUC
rnacentral:misc_RNA from 1 species